rnacentral:lncRNA from 1 species
CUUCAUCUUCUGGUACCACAACGACAGGUUGGUGAGUUACGACCACAGUGACAGCGGCGUGCAGGUCGUCAUUGAGAAGGGUGCAGUGAGCACCUCGCGCCUGCUGGUGAAGGUCGCAGGCACCCGCCACUCUGGCACCUACAGGUGCGACCCUUCCAACUCUGGCAACCAGAGCGUCACCGUGCAUGUGCUCGAAGGCGAGAAGCCAGCCGCGAUCCAGCACGAGAAUAACAGCGCGACAGCAUCUAGUCCCCCAAGCGGCGCUUGCUGCGCACUGCGCACAACAAUAGCAUCAUUUACCCUAAUAUCAGUCUUAGUGACGGCCAUCUUGCGCUAGACUCCGCGAGCCGUAGCCAGCUACAGCUAGAACUAGCACUCAUUCUAUGCUCCUUGUGUAAGUAUGUGUAUUUAGCUUUGUUUGCCGAUGGGAACAAUUCUCAGUGAAGUGAUGAGAUUGCUUCCGAGGUCAAAUUUAAAAUUGAAAUUACUGAGUCUCGGUGAAUUAUCUGCAAAUUGAUCGUUUUAUAUAACAAGAUCUAUAAUGUUCGGUAUCAGUGCUUUGGCAUCGGUGCUUCUGAAUGCUUUGUAAAUAUUUCGAUGCCAACGUGGGAACUAUACUUUAUAUUGAAACAAUCUCUUCUCGUAUAAAAAAAAUAUGUAAAGUCCGAGUCUUACGUUGAAUGAUGGUUUGCAAUCGAAUGGAAUCCGCAGAUCAAGCUGCAUUUUCCCGAGUGGACUAGGCAUAAAUUUGAAGAUUACAUUGAAGUACAGUGCACUAACCCCUUAAGUAUCAAAUAUCCCCGCCCUGUAUAUGCUCCUUAGGAAAUGUUCUCAAUGGUACCUUAUAGCAAAUAGUUUAUAACCGAGAUGGAAUAGUGUAAAUAAAAAAUUCUUGAACGGAACUGAGACGAAAUACGAGAAAGAAAAUCCCUUCUUUAGUAUGAAAGUUCAAUUUCAUCACGUGAAACUGUUUCAUCUCGAUAUGAAAGCCAGUGUAAGAAAUUCUCAAUGUAAUGUAUAGUUCCAAAUUCCACAAGCAUUCGAUGUAUAAGAGACUCUUGGUGAGGUGCCUCUAUCCCAACAUCGUUUGUCAUAAUACCAUUAUUCAAUUCUUUUCACUAAUAUUUAUGAAGUAAUGGAACUGAAUUUAAUUUCAUCAUUAUAUACCAUCUCAAGGCAUGCCUCAUUUGUGUCAUUUUUUGUCAUAUAACGUCACGGAUCAAUUUUUAAU